UGGGGAAUAUUGGGCAAUGGGCGCAAGCCUGACCCAGCAACGCCGCGUGAGGGAAGAAGGCCUUCGGGUUGUAAACCUCUGUCCUUGGGGACGAAAAAAAUGACGGUACCCAAGGAGGAAGCUCCGGCUAACUACGUGCCAGCAGCCGCGGUAAUACGUAGGGAGCGAGCGUUGUCCGGAAUUACUGGGCGUAAAGGGUGCGUAGGUGGCCAUGCAAGUCAGAUGUGAAAUCCCCGGGCUUAACUCGGGUGCUGCAUUUGAAACUGCGUGGCUUGAGUGCAGGAGAGGAAAGUGGAAUUCCUAGUGUAGCGGUGAAAUGCGUAGAUAUUAGGAGGAACACCAGUGGCGAAGGCGGCUUUCUGGACUGUUACUGACACUGAGGCACGAAAGCGUGGGGAGCAAACA
rnacentral:rRNA from 1 species